AUAUUGCACAAUGGGCGCAAGCCUGAUGCAGCGACGCCGCGUGGGGGAUGAAGGCCUUCGGGUUGUAAACUCCUUUCGCUAGGGACGAAGCUUUUUUGUGACGGUACCUUGAUAAGAAGCACCGGCUAACUACGUGCAAGCAGCCGCGGUAAUACGUAGGGUGCGAGCGUUGUCCGGAAUUACUGGGCGUAAAGGGCUCGUAGGUGGUUUGUCGCGUCGUCUGUGAAAUUCUGGGGCUUAACUCCGGGCGUGCAGGCGAUACGGGCAUAACUUUAGUGCUGUAGGGGUAACUGGAAUUCCUGGUGUAGCGGUGAAAUGCGCAGAUAUCAGGAGGAACACCGAUGGCGAAGGCAGGUUACUGGGCAGUUACUGACGCUGAGGAGCGAAAGCAUGGGUAGCGAAC
rnacentral:rRNA from 1 species